CAAUAAAUCACGGGAGUGCACGCCCAUCGUAUAAACACUGAGUGGGUCGUAGACAGGGCCUGCGAGCGACAUACAUCAUAAAAUUUUCACGUCGGGACAGCUUCUGUGGGGGAAAACGGAGCCACACCGCAAGGAUGAUGUACGGUCUCUGUCUUUCUGACACAUUGUUUUUCGUCUUCACUCGAUGACUCGACCACCUCUGUCUGACACCACCAGCGAUGGACAUCAAUCAAGACGCCAAAAAGUAGCCCGUGAAAUUCAGGACUUGGGUCAUCACUUUGAGGCUCGUCACUAUAUUAUCACCAAAUUAUCACGGGCCGCUGGGUGCAGUAUCGUCUGUGGCGAUGAAACACCACAACCAUCAACAUCACAAUAACAACGAAUAAAUCGUGACAUGGGGUGAUUCACCGCUGGAGAGCAGUACACUACCCCAUUACACGCGAAACAUUUGAUGAGAGAUAUGAUAAUGAAGUUAAUCAUCGUCACAAUCAUCAUCACAAUAAAGUACUUCCUGUACUAUUACAUUUUGAUGUAAACCGAAUGAUCACAAUAUUUUUUGUUAAAUUGCUGUUGAUUCUCUAGUGGAAAGGAGGUUGGGCCUCGUCAGGCUACUUGCUUGUAUAGGUUUUUGCCUGUACUACACAUCAAGUGUUUGAGCUGUUUUGUGUCGGUGUUUGUUAUACAUGCAGAUUUUUUUUUAAAUUCUAGCAUUAGCUUAUAUUGCUUCGUGACUGGCUGCUAUUCUGUCAUACAGAGGGAGCCAAUGAAGAAAUGCGCUAGGGCCUGCAAGGAAAUAUAUUACUUGUGCUUCGGAUUCCUCUGCGCAACAAAAUCGCAGGCGGCGAUUUUAAAAUUAACUUUGGUUUGCUCCGGGUCUGAAUGUCUCCGUGUUCAGCCGUAUUUUUCUAUAUUUACUCCUCACGCAGUAUUGAAUUUAGGAGAGGGGGGGGGGGAGCGAGCACUUCAAAAUUAUACGCUGGUGAGCUGCUCGCGAUACUGUGUUUGCGUGAUGCUGAAAUUGUGUAACCAUGACAGUAACAAUGCGAAAAUAAAUAAAUAAACUAUGUAAAAAAUCA